GCAGAGCGACACCUCGUCUUGAGUGCAUCACAUAUUUCCCUCACUCUUUGUCUCUCUCAACCGCUUAAUCCACACUUUUCGCUCUAUGCUCCCAAGCACACUCACAGCUGCUCUCGCUCUCUCUGGAUCACAUUGUUGAAGUUUUGAUGGAUUAAUUCUUUCCUCUGCAUCGCCGUUCAAGUUUUGCAUCGGACUGCAGUUGCUCGGCGAAAGCCAUAAAGGUACUUGAAGCAAGCUUCAGGGUGAGUUGCUGAGAGUCAGUUCGUAUUGGACUGGGCUAUUUUUCAUUGUUUCUCAGAUUGGAGGAUUUAAGAUCAGAGAAGUUUGGGAGGCAGACCCCUAAUCCUAAUGAAGUGUUGGAAUAAAUGAAGCUUCAAGUGGAACUUGCCCUUGCUUGCCUCUUUGGUUUUAUCUGGAUUCAGCAAGGCUUUUGUGAUGAACUUUCCACUACAUCAGGCUUAAAAAACUGGACAUGUACGUGUUCAUUGCCACAUCAAGGAAAUCAGAGUUAUGUUAAAUCUAACUGCUCUACAUCCUGUGAUUGCAAUAUAGCUGGAGGACCAAGUGGAGGUAUAUGGACAUGUGUAUGUGCUGCUGAUGGAUUUCCUAAAGUAGCUUCUGGCAGUCUUAAUACUACCUGUUUUACAUCCUGCAACUGCACUUCUGGAUCUCUUACAGAAAAUGGAGCUAGAAGAAAUCACCUCUCUGGAAAAGUUGUUGUGAUCAUUUUGCUACUAUGUGUCAUACUUGCAACACUCACCUUUCUUGCUUCCAUAACAUGCUAUGUCUAUCGAAAAGAUAAAUGCCCUAUCCAGCGGCCAAUAUUCUCUUCAGACAGAGAUACAAGUUACAACAGUGCUACUAACUUAAUAAGUCAUAAGGCAUCUUCAGUAUCAGAAAUCAAAUUCAGUAUUGAUUCGCCCAUUAAUGCUAUCUCAGGGUGUUUUCGCAGGGCUUCUUUAUUGUGUAGGAGCGAUUCAGAGAUUAUACAUGGCACCAUAUUCCGAUUUUUAUACUCUGACUUGGAUCAUGCAACAGAUAACUUCUCCAAUUCCAAUCUUAUAGGACUUGGUGGAAGCAGCUUUGUAUAUCGUGGCCAGCUUAGAGAUGGUAAAAUUGUGGCAAUUAAGCGACUUAAAGCUCAGGGAGGACCUGAUGCUGACUCUGUCUUUUCAAAAGAGGUUGAAGUGUUAUCAAGACUUCAUCACUGUCAUGUUGUACCCUUGCUUGGAUACUGCUCAGAAUUCCAAGGGAAACAUUCUGAGAGGUUGCUGGUCUUUGAAUACAUGCCUAAUGGUGACUUAAGGGAUUGUUUGGAUGGAGUUUUGGGGGAAAGCAUGAAGUGGGAAACUCGUGUUACAAUUGCAAUAGGAGCUGCAAGGGGCUUAGAAUAUCUCCAUGAAGCGGCUGCUCCAAGAAUUUUGCACAGAGAUGUCAAAUCCACAAAUAUCCUCCUGGAUGAAAACUGGAGAGCCAAAAUUACUGAUCUUGGUAUGGCUAAACGUUUAAAAGCUGAUGGUGUUCCCAGCAGUUCAAGUUCUCCCGCAAGAAUGCAGGGCACUUUUGGCUAUUUUGCACCAGAGUAUGCAAUGGUUGGGAGGGCCUCUCUCAUGUCAGAUGUUUUUAGUUUUGGUGUAGUUCUUCUUGAGCUUAUCACUGGUCGACAACCCAUCCAUAAAUCAACCAACAAAGGAGAAGAAAGCCUUGUCUUAUGGGCUACUCCUCGUUUGCAGGAAAGUAGGCUAGUAAUAUCAGAUUUGCCUGAUCCACGUUUGAAAGGUAAUUUCCCAGAAGAAGAGAUGCAGAUAAUGGCUUACCUAGCAAAGGAGUGCCUGCUGUUAGAUCCUGAUGCUCGCCCAACCAUGAGUGAGGUUGUACAAAUCCUCUCAACUAUUGCACCAGAUAAGUCUAGAAGGAGAAACAUCCCCAUAAAUUUUUUUCGGAUGUCUUCCUCGCGCAGCAUUAAAAAUGAGUCAUACAUUCAAAAACCAGACAGUCAAGUUGAAGGUCCUGUUAAUGCAGCAGAACUGAGACGAGAUAUGUCGGUUAAACAGUCAGCUCUGUGUUCUACGCCAUUGGAUGUUGAGGAUACUCCCUCUGUUGAACACAAUGCCAAGGGAGCAGAUCCUGUUUCAUCAGAGUAUAUGGAAAGACUGAUUCUCUUGACCUCAAAAGCUAGGAGUUGGCGUGCCACAGAUGAAGAAGCUGUGGACUUAAUGGAACCUCGGUUUGAAUCAUUCCACAUGGCAAAUAGAUCUCCUUGACAAACUAGCCAUAUAUGAAAGCAACUGUUAUGAUCUAGGAAUUUGCAGUUUUCUGUUACAAGUCUGGCAAGCAAGUUUUUAAGGGUCACCAAUGGAUCCUCCUCCACCCCCAAGUACACCACUGUUGCCACCGGCUCCGCCUGCUGGAGGAUUCUUGGAUUCAUGUUUGUGGUUUCUGUGCUGCUGUGGUCUGUUUACAAGCUGCUGCCCUCCACUAUUUGAACCUGUGCCUCCUCCUCCAUAAAACUGCAUUUCUCAAUUACCCACCUUUCCUUGGAAUAGCUUUUGUGUAUGUGAAGUGAAAAACGUAGAUAGUUUAUAGACACUUUUAUCUUCCGAUUUGGUCCUGUGAUGUUAACAAAAAUUCAUGGAAUUCUUCCAUUUAAAAUUUCUUUUACAUUUUUGGAGUUUAAAAUUUGCCGAUCCAAUUAGUCUGAGAUUAAAACUUGAUUAUUGAUAUUAUUUUUGAGUUUGAAACCUUGUGAUAGUUGUUUGUCUAUUUUUUAAAAUAUAAUUGACUCUAAUGCCUUAUUAAUUGUUGUA